rnacentral:lncRNA from 1 species
CUUGUAUGAGGUUGCUUGUAAGGAAAAUCAAGAUUUACUGAACUGACUGUAAUUGUGAGUACGUCCCAUGUUUUAAUGAUCUUAUUUUUGUUGGGAAUUGCAGUAUAAAAAAAGGUGCGUGCUCAAGAGUUAUCUGACUGGGUUGUUGAAGACAGCAAGUCACUACAGAGGAGAAGGAAUUCUCAGAAGAUAAGUGUCUGCCACCCUGUCUCUUUUGUGCUAACUACCAACAGCUGGAGCCCAGGCAGAAGAGAGGCAAGAGAAGCACGUGUCAAGGAAGUAUGUGCUUAAGCAUGAAGGUGAACAGAGCUUUCCAGGGGAAAGGAGUCGGUGCUGGACCCAAAGGCAAGCAGAAAUAUCAAAUGAUUCCUGCAGUUUUUAGUCUGGGAUGCAAAAUCCGAGCGAGGAUGUCUCUUGACCCAUGUGCACAGAUGAUGAGCAAUUUUCCUUCCUGUGCAGAAGAAAUUGUCCUGAAAUCGUGCCAGAGACCUUAGUAAUAGCUAUCCAAAUCAACAGUGGCUAUACCAUGUCCAUGCCUAUCCAUCGUACUUUCCAAAUAUGUUGAUAAAAUCUAAGAGAUCUAUUGAGAUAGUUUAAAGGGAAGAGCUUUGUGGUGCUGUCUUGAGACUGGACGCCUUGAAAUUAAUGGGCUCUUCCUGCUGUGCAAGGCAGUGACUUGCUGAAGAUGUAGCCUGCACGUCGUGGGAGAGGAACAUAAGGAUUCUGCCAGGUUUUAAUGCAACAUACCAGCUAUUUUGACUUGAUCAGCGUGCACGUAUCGUAUGGAAAGAGGAAGUGGGCUGACCAACUAAAUCCAUCAGAAACAAAUAUGAUACAGUACCAGUCUGCUUCAGUGCUUUUCUCAGCGUCCAAGAGCCCUCUUCUUUCCAUCAGGAUUUCUAAGCCAGCUGAAUUUUUCCAGAGCUCCAUUCCCACCCAGAAAACAGACGAGAGAGGUGUGUAGAAGUACCCAGAAAUAUAUCUUAUAAAGGCUGUUUUGGGAAACACUGAUUUUUGCUUUAGGACUAAUCAGUUUUCUCUAAACUUUCUCUCUGUUCUGUUUUUGUAUUCUUCUAUAAGAAAAGUAGGGCAGGAGGAGACCUACCCCAGAGAUAGGCAAGUGUCCUUUCCAUCCCUGUAAGGAGGGUCCUUUCUGCAGGCAACGGGUAAGAUUAUUCAUUACUUGACUCUGUA